rnacentral:rRNA from 1 species
UGGGGAAUAUUGCACAAUGGGCGAAAGCCUGAUGCAGCAACGCCGCGUGAGUGAUGAAGGCCUUCGGGUUGUAAAGCUCUGUCUUUUGGGACGAUAAUGACGGUACCAAAGGAGGAAGCCACGGCUAACUACGUGCCAGCAGCCGCGGUAAUACGUAGGUGGCAAGCGUUGUCCGGAUUUACUGGGCGUAAAGGAUGCGUAGGCGGAUUUUUAAGUGAGAUGUGAAAUACCCGGGCUUAACUUGGGUGCUGCAUUUCAAACUGGGAAUCUAGAGUGCGGGAGAGGAGAAUGGAAUUCCUAGUGUAGCGGUGAAAUGCGUAGAGAUUAGGAAGAACACCAGUGGCGAAGGCGAUUCUCUGGACCGUAACUGACGCUGAGGCAUGAAAGCGUGGGUAGCAAACAGGAUUAGAUACCCUGGUAGUCCACGCCGUAAACGAUGAGUACUAGGUGUAGGAGGUAUCGACCCCUUCUGUGCCGCAGUUAACACAAUCAAGUACUCCGCCUGGGAAGUACGAUCGCAAGAUUAAAAACUUAAAUGAAUUGAC